UACGGAGGGGGCUAGCGUUGUUCGGAAUUACUGGGCGUAAAGCGCACGUAGGCGGCUUUGUAAGUUAGAGGUGAAAGCCUGGAGCUCAACUCCAGAAUUGCCUUUAAGACUGCAUCGCUUGAAUCGCGGAGAGGUGAGUGGAAUUCCGAGUGUAGAGGUGAAAUUCGUAGAUAUUCGGAAGAACACCAGUGGCGAAGGCGGCUCACUGGACGCGUAUUGACGCUGAGGUGCGAAAGCGUGGGGAGCAAACAGGG
rnacentral:rRNA from 1 species